rnacentral:rRNA from 1 species
UACAGAGGUCUCAAGCGUUGUUCGGAUUCAUUGGGCGUACAGGGUGCGUAGGUGGCGCUGUAAGUCGGGUGUGAAAUUUCGGAGCUUAACUCCGAAACUGCAUUCGAUACUGCGGUGCUUGAGGACUGGAGAGGAGACUGGAAUUUAUGGUGUAGCAGUGAAAUGCGUAGAGAUCAUAAGGAAGACCAGUGGCGAAGGCGGGUCUCUGGACAGUUCCUGACACUGAGGCACGAAGGCCAGGGGAGCAAACGGG